GAUGAAGUGCCUGAAAAAGGGUUACCAUGAUAAGGUAAAUCAUGUAAACAAUUACCUUCAUCA
rnacentral:tRNA from 1 species